GCAAGUCGCACGAGAAAGUCUACCUUCGGGUGGAUAAGUAAAGUGGCGCACGGGUGAGUAACACGUGGGUUAUCUACCUUUAAGCUUGGGAUAACACUGCGAAAGCGGUGCUAAUACCGAAUAUGCUCACGGUUUUAUUUCUGUGAGAAAAGGUGGCCUCUGUUUCAUGCUAUCACUUAAAGAUGAGCCCGCGCACCAUUAGCUUGUUGGUGGGGUAAAGGCCUACCAAGGCGACGAUGGUUAGCUGGCCUGAGAGGGCGGCC
rnacentral:rRNA from 1 species